rnacentral:rRNA from 1 species
AAGUCGAACGAGAAAAGGGUUCUCGGAUCCUUAGUAAAGUGGCAAACGGGUGAGUAACACGUGAGUAAUUUGCCCUUGAUUUUGGAAUAACAACUUGAAAAGGUUGCUAAUACCAAAUAAUAUCACAGUAUGGCAUCAUAUUGAGAUCAAAGAUGACCUCUCCAUGGAAGUUGUCGAUCAAGGAUAAGCUCGCGUACCAUUAGCUAGUUGGUGGGAUAAAAGCCUACCAAGGUUAUGAUGGUUAGCCGGCCUGAGAGGGUGACCGGCCACACUGGGACUGAGACACGGCCCAGACUCCUACGGGAGGCAGCAGUGGGGAAUAUUGCGCAAUGGGGGAAACCCUGACGCAGCAACGCCGCGUGGAUGAUGAAGGCCUUCGGGUUGUAAAAUCCUGUCAGAUGGGAAGAAAUGCAUAAAAAUCAAUAAUCUUUAUGUUUGACGGUACCAUCAGAGGAAGCCCCGGCUAACUCCGUGCCAGCAGCCGCGGUAAUACGGAGGGGGCAAGCGUUGUUCGGAAUCACUGGGCGUAAAGGGCGCGUA